UGGGGAAUAUUGCACAAUGGGGGAAACCCUGAUGCAGCGACGCCGCGUGAAGGAAGAAGUAUCUCGGUAUGUAAACUUCUAUCAGCAGGGAAGAGAUUGACGGUACCUGACUAAGAAGCCCCGGCUAACUACGUGCCAGCAGCCGCGGUAAUACGUAGGGGGCAAGCGUUAUCCGGAUUUACUGGGUGUAAAGGGAGCGUAGACGGAUGGAUAAGUCUGAUGUGAAAGGCUGGGGCUCAACCCCGGGACUGCAUUGGAAACUGCCCGUCUUGAGUGCCGGAGAGGUAAGCGGAAUUCCUAGUGUAGCGGUGAAAUGCGUAGAUAUUAGGAGGAACACCAGUGGCGAAGGCGGCUUACUGGACGGUAACUGACGUUGAGGCUCGAAAGCGUGGGGAGCAAACAGG
rnacentral:rRNA from 1 species